AGCGAGCUCUUAACCAACUGAGUCACUCAGCCAGCCCUCAAAGGAAUUCUGUUUUUGUUUGCCAUAUCCACGGAUCCCUGUGAGUCAGGCCAUCCUGUCUUUGCUGCCCAUUAUGUCUAAGCCAUUGCAAAGACAAUCACCUUCUAACAAUAAUAGCCUGGCUUUCAUUCCUCUCUCUGUCAGAUUUCUCUUCAUACAACAGCCAGAAUUAUGAUUAUUUUUUCAGAAUUAUU